rnacentral:rRNA from 1 species
UAAUACGUAGGUGGCAAGCGUUAUCCGGAUUUACUGGGUGUAAAGGGCGUGUAGGCGGGAUUGCAAGUCAGAUGUGAAAACCAGGGGCUCAACCUCUGGCCUGCAUUUGAAACUGUAGUUCUUGAGUACUGGAGAGGCAGACGGAAUUCCUAGUGUAGCGGUGAAAUGCGUAGAUAUUAGGAGGAACACCAGUGGCGAAGGCGGUCUGCUGGACAGCAACUGACGCUGAGGCGCGAAAGCGUGGGGAGCAAACAGG